AGAGUUUGAUCCUGGCUCAGGAUGAACGCUGACAGAAUGCUUAACACAUGCAAGUCUACUUGAACUUCGGUUUGGGUGGCGGACGGGUGAGUAACGCGUAAAGAACUUGCCUCACAGUUAGGGACAACAUUUGGAAACGAAUGCUAAUACCUGAUAUUAUGAUUUUAGGGCAUCCUAAGAUUAUGAAAGCUAUAUGCGCUGUGAGAGAGCUUUGCGUCCCAUUAGCUAGUUGGAGAGGUAACGGCUCACCAAGGCGAUGAUGGGUAGCCGGCCUGAGAGGGUGAACGGCCACAAGGGGACUGAGACACGGCCCUUACUCCUACGGGAGGCAGCAGUGGGGAAUAUUGGACAAUGGACCAAAAGUCUGAUCCAGCAAUUCUGUGUGCACGAUGACGUUUUUCGGAAUGUAAAGUGCUUUCAGUUGGGAAGAAAAAAAUGACGGUACCAACAGAAGAAGUGACGGCUAAAUACGUGCCAGCAGCCGCGGUAAUACGUAUGUCACAAGCGUUAUCCGGAUUUAUUGGGCGUAAAGCGCGUCUAGGUGGUUAUGUAAGUCUGAUGUGAAAAUGCAGGGCUCAACUCUGUAUUGCGUUGGAAACUGCAUGACUAGAGUACUGGAGAGGUAAGCGGAACUACAAGUGUAGAGGUGAAAUUCGUAGAUAUUUGUAGGAAUGCCGAUGGGGAAGCCAGCUUACUGGACAGAUACUGACGCUAAAGCGCGAAAGCGUGGGUAGCAAACAGGAUUAGAUACCCUGGUAGUCCACGCCGUAAACGAUGAUUACUAGGUGUUGGGGGUCGAACCUCAGCGCCCAAGCUAACGCGAUAAGUAAUCCGCCUGGGGAGUACGUACGCAAGUAUGAAACUCAAAGGAAUUGACGGGGACCCGCACAAGCGGUGGAGCAUGUGGUUUAAUUCGA
rnacentral:rRNA from 1 species